UUGGUACUUCAUUCUACAAGUGGAGUUGAGAACUCGACACUCCUCGAUAGUGAAAAUCACGUACCUAACUAGAUUCAUGUUUCGUGAAAAACAGUGAUAGCCUAACAAUGAGUAAUUACGGUUUUGUUUCAAUUUUCGCGUUCGUUUUGGCGUUUUAUGUUUCAUGUAGGGCGGCAUGGGAAAUACCGGAAAUACAAUGUUACAGGUGUCAUACUUCUUCUACCCAACCAGAUCCAGACUGUGUAAAUGUGAAUCGGUGGCGCACAGAGACACCAACAUUUGCUACCUCGAGAGAUGGCCACAUUGGUUGUUUCUACGCUAAGGUUCGAGUGACAGAUGGGUCAUAUAAGUAAUACAACGAGAUGUGACAACUUAUGCAAUAUGCAGCACCCGAAACAAACUUCACUAGUUGUGAUUAUUUUCGGAAACGGCACGCAGAAGUAGUAGAAUGUGAAAUUUGUACUGGUAAAGAUCUCUGCAAUUCUUCGUCAGGUGGCCCUCCAAUAACCACGUCAUUCACCAGCUCCAACCAUGCCCCGUAAGAAUUUUUUUUAUGUACCUAUUUGAUGAAAUGCACCAUACUGCGAGUGAACAAAUAGCUACGCCUAAAUGUAUUGAAUUAUUAGCUUGUUCGCGUAAAAAUCAUGUCUAAUCAACUAUUUUUUAAUGUAUUAUGUACCUAGGUGUUCUGGAAAUAAAAUGUUACAAUUGUGAACAUACUUCUAGCAAACAUGAUCCAAACUGUGUAAAUGUGAAUUCGAAAACCAGUUUUAAGUCAUUUCCUACGACGCCUGUGGACGAUGAUAAUAUAUUGCCGCAAUUCGUGCAGGGUUAUGAUGCAGUUUGUAUAUACCUUAAGACUUAUCGGAUAGGUAGGCAGUAAAAUGAAACGUUUAUUUUUCGCA